UUUCCAUUAGUAAGUGGGUUUAUUGAGCCUUCCUUAUAAGAAUGAUUGUUUUCUUGAGAGGAUGAAGACAAAUCUGGAGGAGGAAUAACUUCAGCAACUUUUACAUCCUCCAUNNUAAAGAAUAUGCAGUCAGGAGUCCCACUCCUGUCAAGAUUAUCCAGAAACGAAAAGAGAAGCAGAAUUGAGGAGAAUAUUAACGAUCUCUGCC
rnacentral:misc_RNA from 1 species